rnacentral:lncRNA from 1 species
GAGGAGCCGAGUGAGGAGGCGGCAGCGGCGUGUGGUCGCGGGCUCUUGAGCUGCGGCUUUCCUCGUCUGAGACGAGGGCCGCUGCCUCCGGGAGAUGCGCGUGUCGCGGACCCGCGGUCGCCCCGGGAGUUCAUGCUGCGUGCGAGGCUCGCAGCCGCCGCUCUAAUCGCCCGGCGUCUCCGCCGCGCCCGCUCGGCCCGCGGUGAGCCUCCCGGACCCUGUCCCUCGCGCCGCGGCGGCGAUGACCGGGGAGAAGAUCCGCUCCCUGCGGAGGGACCACAAGCCCACAAAGAGGACGAGGACGUGCUGGAGCCCUGCGAGGAGGAGGCGACG